GUGGUUAAUGCGUUGCAGACAUUCAUUAUUUUGUCCUUGCGCGCCUACCGUAGUUCAGCAGAAAAUGGCUGACACUGCUGCGGUGGUUUAUGUCUGCAGUGUUUUCACCCUGUGUAAUAAUACAUUUUGAUGUAUUCCUCAGACACGAUUAUCAUUGCUGCGGAGAAUAAAAGAAAGAACAGACAACCAGAGUCUUGUGUGCGUCGUCCAUUUAAAGUUUGUGACGGAAGUGUUAAGGCCACAUUGGGGACAACAAUCGUUACAGUCGCGCCCCCUUUAAACCUAUAAA